AAGAGGAGGUUAUCGCUGAUAACGUAGGGGGUGUUCAAGGGCUGUCGAGAUGUUUGAUUGUUCAUACGCAAGUAGGUCUCAGACUUCUCGACAUUUGCGGUCCAUUUGUGAUCGCGACAAGGGGGAGUUUUUAGUAGGUGCAAGUUCCACACUACCUGACCACACCGGGUGGUCAGGUGUGCAUAAUGCAUUUUCUCCUCCUAUCGCAAAAAAAAGGUUAGGUUGGGGGUCGCUCUUGGGGCGUUCUAAGACUAAGUCCACUGACAGUUGAGUGCUCCGAAAUUGUGGAGUAACUCCGGUUUAGAGUGCGUUAAACCGAAAAUAAAGUGUGCCGAAACGUGUUUCGAGUGUUUGCGCGUCGAAUAAGACAAUAAUAUUUUUUGCUCCGAUUUCUAGUUAUUAAUUAUAAGGCUGAAAUGAAUCCGGUAAUGAGCUGUGCGCGUAAUAGCGGACAUAGGAAGCCUUGUCAGCAUAGCGGUGAUGUGGCAAAAUCAGUGAACAAUAUACUAUGCGCCCCGGAGCGACCCCCAGAGUUUGUGAUUGUCUGUAUUUUUAUGGUAGUAUUGUUUUGUAUCGCUGUGAUCUUUGGUUGAAGUUAGUUUAUUAACAUUAGUGUGAUGUGCAUAAAAUGCAAGAUGUCGGAGAAUCUACAGAGCCACGUUCAUGCCGUGUGACGUCACGUCAGCAUGAAAUGGCCGGCCGGCCCUCGGCUCGAGAAGAUGUCUCGCAACCUUGCCUCCUGUUGGUUUCAAUAAUUUGCAGAAUAGAAACUUCAACCUCCUAGUUGAAUUAAUUAGACCGAGGUACCGUGUAUUGUGUGCUCGGUGCACUGGCGGAGUUUCUGAGUUUAUUAUUAAUAUUGGGGAAGAGAAAAAUACAGGAUAAGAUAGACGAGCUGGCCUGUAUGUGAUAAUUAAGAAGGCCACAUUGCUGGAAGCGGUUAUUGUGUUAAACGUGGGAGGAGAGGUUGGCUGUAAGCCCUGAAACGGGAUGCGUGUCUGAGAUGUUCCAGUUCGCAUCUGAAGAUCCUAGGUAAUUGGUAACAUGUGGGAGAGACUGCGUUGAUAGUGCUAAUUAAAUGACGCUGAAUUACAUAUAUGUAGGAAUGUUGCGCUGGGAUGUAUAAACCCUAAAUUAUAUGGAUUGCAUCGUCAACGUCCGGAAGCUGCUUCCCUUCAUCAAGGGAAGUUGCCGAAAGGAACUUUGGAUAUGUGCAUCGAGUCUUGAGAUAUUGCUAGUGCUGAAAUCGAAUACAAUAGUAUGAGAAAGAAAUGUCAGGGAACUGGCGAUGCGUUGUGUAUUGUUAUGCUUAAAUCUGAUAAGAAGUAUCUCUGACUUUAUGGAAUUAUUCCUCGGAAUGGAGUGUCGUUGAUAAACUGAAAUCGUUUCAUUUCUCGAAAGGAAUUUACAAAAGUUGUAAAGUCAAACAAAGGUCUCUAUUUAUGAAUGUGAAGAACUAGCUGAUUGCUAGGAAGGUGACUGUUGAUGUUAUUCUUAACUAGAAUUCUUAAAAAGGCUGAGUUUGUUUUCAUGAGAACUGUUCAACUGGAAUGGCAUUUUUAAGUAAUGGAGGCGAUAUGUUUAAUUAGACUUUAAUGCAGUACUAUUGUAAUAAAAAGAUAAGAUACUUAGUUUGACUAAAUGAGAUUAGUAAGAUAAGCGCACGCGUAUUGGUGAUAUUGGGAGUUGGAGUCGUCAUAAUAAUUAUGAUUUUGAAUUCUAAUUUUAAUUUAAAUUAAUUAAAUUGAUUUAACUUAAUUCAAUAUAAGUAAAUAUUUUAAGUAGUUGACAGAAUGCUGGGUUCGGGCUCUGAACCCAGCUUAAGGAUGAAAAAGAUGAGCGCACGCGUAUUGGUGAUAUUGGGAGUUGGAGUCGUCAUAAUAAUUAUGAUUUUGAAUUCUAAUUUUAAUUUAAAUUAAUUAAAUUGAUUUAACUUAAUUCAAUAUAAGUAAAUAUUUUAAGUAGUUGACAGAAUGCUGGGUUCGGGCUCUGAACCCAGCUUAAGGAUGAAAAAGAUGAGCGCACGCGUAUUGGUGAUAUUGGGAGUUGGAGUCGUCAUAAUAAUUAUGAUUUUGAAUUCUAAUUUUAAUUUAAAUUAAUUAAAUUGAUUUAACUUAAUUCAAUAUAAGUAAAUAUUUUAAGUAGUUGACAGAAUGCUGGGUUCGGGCUCUGAACCCAGCUUAAGGAUGAAAAAGAUGAGCGCACGCGUAUUGGUGAUAUUGGGAGUUGGAGUCGUCAUAAUAAUUAUGAUUUUGAAUUCUAAUUUUAAUUUAAAUUAAUUAAAUUGAUUUAACUUAAUUCAAUAUAAGUAAAUAUUUUAAGUAGUUGACAGAAUGCUGGGUUUGGGCUCUGAACCCAGCUUAAGGAUGAAAAAAAGGAAAUUUUGAUUCUGGCUAGAAGCGCAUGGAUUGUUGUCGUAAAUGAAUUAUUGUAUUGCAUUGUACUGUAUUAUUAUGGAGUGAUCGAUGUUAACAAUGAUGACAGGAUAAUAUGAUUUGAAUGUUUGAAUGAUGACGAGCGGAAAAUGCGAAUGUUCGAUUUCCGCUCGAUUAAUGGUGACAGUAUCUACGAGCGGGAAUAAGUAUAAGUAAUCAUAAUGACUAAUUGAGAAUUGUGUGAUGUAAUGAAUACGUGUUUGAAGGAAAUGUUAGAGAUUGAAUCUACAAAUAAAUUCUAAAUCUGAGAUUAUUAGAAUUACGAGGAGACUUAAAUUGUCCAGUAAUGAGAAUCGUACAUGGAAUCGUCAGAAGUUGAAAUCUAUUAUAGGUAGUUUGAAUUUUGAUUUUAAUUGAUGUAGUAUGGAUUUCAGAAUACUUUGGAGUCUCUGACAUUAACUGAAUUAUGAAGAGGUAGAAUUAACUAUUGAUAGGAUUUUAUAAAGGAGAGUUUGUAUGACAAUGAGGAGGAUAUGAUGUAAUAUAUUGAUUUGAGUAAAUGAGCAAACGAUAUGGUGAAUUUAUCACAAAUAACUAAAUCUAAAUUCGGAUUUCUAAUGAAUGCAGUCCUUAAAUAUUUUGUAAUUCAUGAGAGUAACUGAAUUUUAAGGAGAUAAAAUUAGUGAUGAGAGUUGUAUAAGGGAGGGUCUGUGUUACUAUACAACAAUAGAAAGAAUCUGAUUAGCAAUAAACUUUAAUUUGAGCAAAGAUAUGGCAAUUAUAAUGACUAAUUGAGAACUGUGUAUAAUAAUGAAUACGUAUUUGAUGGGAUUGUUAGAGACUGAAACUUAUUAUUAAUAACUUCUAAAUUUGAUCUCUAAAUAAUUGUUUAAACUGCACAAACUCUUGAUUAUUGCAAACUCUGAGAUUUUUAGAACUUUGAGGAGACUGAAACUUCUAGCAAGACUGAUAGCGUCUCGAUGCCUUGCAAUUGAGAGGUGUGUCUCUGUAUUGUGAGAUGAGUGGUUUGUCGCUCCCUUCUGGCUGGAAUUAUAAUUCUGGCAUCUGUAAAUAAAAAAUAGAAGAUAAUAGCUGCAAAAUUGUUAAUUAUUUAUAGUUAAUUAUUAAGUAAUUAUUAAUUAUUAGCAAUAGGAAAGGAAUAGUUUAGUAUUUAUGAUGAGGAAAUGGCGUUGAUUUAGACUCGAAUAUCUAAUGUUAUUAUUGCGAAUCUGUUGUUGUCAUGCGUAUGCAAAAUGAAGAGGAUUAAUUAGAAAAGAAAAUGCGAUACACAGUCUUAGCGACAGGCAUGAGUGGAGUGGCGUGGUAUUAUAACAUUGAGGCAUAUAUAUACAUUUAUAGCUAAUACUGUGUUAACAAAGCAUAUGGUUUAUUCGAGCAUCGUGCAGGAGCGCUAGGAGUUAAAAUGAAAUGGUUAUUGUAAAUAAAGUACAAAUAC